rnacentral:rRNA from 1 species
GUUUGAUCAUGGCUCAGGACGAACGCUGGCGGCGUGCUUAACACAUGCAAGUCGAACGAAGAGCGAUGGAAGCUUGCUUCUAUCAAUCUUAGUGGCGAACGGGUGAGUAACGCGUAAUCAACCUGCCCUUCAGAGGGGGACAACAGUUGGAAACGACUGCUAAUACCGCAUACGAUCUAAUCUCGGCAUCGAGGAUAGAUGAAAGGUGGCCUCUACAUGUAAGCUAUCACUGAAGGAGGGGAUUGCGUCUGAUUAGCUAGUUGGAGGGGUAACGGCCCACCAAGGCGAUGAUCAGUAGCCGGUCUGAGAGGAUGAACGGCCACAUUGGGACUGAGACACGGCCCAGACUCCUACGGGAGGCAGCAGUGGGGAAUCUUCCGCAAUGGACGAAAGUCUGACGGAGCAACGCCGCGUGAGUGAUGACGGCCUUCGGGUUGUAAAGCUCUGUUAAUCGGGACGAAAGGCCUUCUUGCGAAUAGUGAGAAGGAUUGACGGUACCGGAAUAGAAAGCCACGGCUAACUACGUGCCAGCAGCCGCGGUAAUACGUAGGUGGCAAGCGUUGUCCGGAAUUAUUGGGCGUAAAGCGCGCGCAGGCGGAUAGGUCAGUCUGUCUUAAAAGUUCGGGGCUUAACCCCGUGAUGGGAUGGAAACUGCCAAUCUAGAGUAUCG